GGAGGAGCCUGCGGAGGGAACCCUUGGCUUUAGGAAGAGCGGUGCCAGCGGGUCAGGGGGGUGAUCCUGCUGCUCUGUUUAGACCAGGUAAAGAAGUGUGCCAAGAGGAUGGAUCCAGGCUCUGUUUUGUUGAUGCUGAGCAACAGGACAAGAGGAAUGGGCAGUAACUGAUGCCCAGGAAGUUCCACCUGAACGGUGACCGAGCACUGGGACAGAUUGUCCAGAGAGGCUGUGGACUCUCCCUUACUGGAGAUAUUCCAGAGCCAUCUGGACACAUUCCUGUGCCACGUCCUCCAGGGAGGUUGGACCUGUGACUCACUGUGGUCCCUUCCAGCCUGACCAUUCUGUGAUUGUGAACUGCUGCCCCUGGCCUCUGGCAGGGCACCAGCUCACCCCUGUCCUGCCAGAGAGGGAAAAGAUGCUCCCUUGUACCUGCUGUCCCCAUCUGUCACCCCUUCCAGCCUCUUCCACUCCACGUGCUCCAGAGUGGUGGCUGGACCCAUCUGCACCGCCCAGCUCUGCCAGUGGGAUCCCCAGGCAGGCAGCCCCCAGCCUGGCAGGUGUGCACAGGUGCUUCCCUGCAGCACUGUCAGACACACACAAAGGUAUUUCUGGUGCCAAACAUUCACAGAUCAUCUGAAAGCCGAGGGAAACAAUCAGCAGGACUUCAUUAAAGAAGAAAGAAUGCAUUUAC